GAUCAUGGCUCAGGAUAAACGCUAGCUACAGGCUUAACACAUGCAAGUCGAGGGGCAGCAUGAACUUAGCUUGCUAAGUUUGAUGGCGACCGGCGCACGGGUGAGUAACACGUAUCCAACCUGCCGAUGACUCGGGGAUAGCCUUUCGAAAGAAAGAUUAAUACCCGAUGGCAUAGUUCUUCCGCAUGGUAGAACUAUUAAAGGAUUUCGGUCAUCGAUGGGGAUGCGUUCCAUUAGGUUGUUGGCGGGUAACGGCCCACCAAGCCUUCGAUGGAUAGGGGUUCUGAGAGGAAGGUCCCCCACAUUGGAACUGAGACACGGUCCAAACUCCUACGGGAGGCAGCAGUGAGGAAUAUUGGUCAAUGGACGAGAGUCUGAACCAGCCAAGUAGCGUGCAGGAUGACGGCCCUAUGGGUUGUAAACUGCUUUUAUAAGGGAAUAAAGUGAGUCUCGUGAGACUUUUGCAUGUACCUUAUGAAUAAGGACCGGCUAAUUCCGUG
rnacentral:rRNA from 1 species